AUUGAACGCUGGCGGCAUGCUUUACACAUGCAAGUCGAACGGCAGCGCGGGCUUCGGCCUGGCGGCGAGUGGCGAACGGGUGAGUAAUACAUCGGAACGUGCCCAGUAGGGGGGGAUAGCUCGGCGAAAGCCGGAUUAAUACCGCAGACGACCUGAGGGUGAAAGCGGGGGAUCUUCGGACCUCGCGCUAGUGGAGCGGCCGAUGGCAGAUUAGCUAGUUGGUGGGGUAAAGGCCUACCAAGGCGACGAUCUGUAGCUGGUCUGAGAGGACGACCAGCCACACUGGGACUGAGACACGGCCCAGACUCCUACGGGAGGCAGCAGUGGGGAAUUUUGGACAAUGGGCGAAAGCCUGAUCCAGCAAUGCCGCGUGUGUGAUGACGGCCUUCGGGUUGUAAAGCACCUUUGGCGGGAACGAAAAGGACUGUGCCAAUACCACGGUUCGAUGACGGUACCCGCAGAAUAAGCACCGGCUAACUACGUG
rnacentral:rRNA from 1 species